GCAUAUCAAUAAGCGGAGGAAAAGAAACCAACAGGGAUUGCCUUAGUAGCGGCGAGUGAAGCGGCAAAAGCUCAAAUUUGAAAUCUGGCGCCUUCGGUGUCCGAGUUGUAAUUUGAAGAUUGUAACCUUGGGGUUGGCUCUUGUCUAUGUUUCUUGGAACAGGACGUCACAGAGGGUGAGAAUCCCGUGCGAUGAGAUGCCCAAUCCUAUGUAAGGUGCUUUCGAAGAGUCGAGUUGUUUGGGAAUGCAGCUCUAAGUGGGUGGUAAAUUCCAUCUAAAGCUAAAUAUUGGCGAGAGACCGAUAGCGAACAAGUACAGUGAUGGAAAGAUGAAAAGAACUUUGAAAAGAGAGUGAAAAAGUACGUGAAAUUGUUGAAAGGGAAGGGUUUGAGAUCAGACUCGAUAUUUUGUGAGCCUUGCCUUCGUGGCGGGGUGACCCGCAGCUUAUCGGGCCAGCAUCGGUUUGGGCGGUAGGAUAAUGGCGUAGGAAUGUGACUUUACUUCGGUGAAGUGUUAUAGCCUGCGUUGAUGCUGCCUGCCUAGACCGAGGACUGCGAUUUUAUCAAGGAUGCUGGCAUAAUGAUCCCAAACCGCCCGUCUUGAAACACGGACCAAGGAGUCUAACGUCUAUGCGAGUGUUUGGGUGUUAAACCCGUACGCGUAAUGAAAGUGAACGUAGGUGAGGGCUCUUUUGAGUGCAUCAUCGACCGAUCCUGAUGUCUUCGGAUGGAUUUGAGUAAGAGCAUAGCUGUUGGGACCCGAAAGAUGGUGAACUAUACCUGAAUAGGGUGAAGCCAGAGGAAACUCUGGUGGAGGCUCGUAGCGGUUCUGACGUGCAAAUCGAUCGUCGAAUUUGGGUAUAGGGGGCGAAAGACUAAUCGCAAACCCUCUAGUAGCUGGUUCCUGCCAAAUU
rnacentral:rRNA from 1 species